rnacentral:rRNA from 1 species
UACGUAGGGGUGCGAGCGUUGUCCGGAAUUACUGGGCGUAAAAGAGCUCGUAGGUGGUUUUGUCGCGUCUGCUGUGAAAAUCCGAGGCUCAACCUCGGACUUGCAGUGGGUACGGGCAGACUAGAGUGUGGUAGGGGAGACUGGAAUUCCGUGGUGUAGCGGUGGAAUGCGCAGAUAUCAGGAGGAACACCGAUGGCGAAGGCAGGUCUCUGGGCCAUUACUGACACUGGAGAAGCG